AUUUCCAACAGGUACAGCUGUUGACCAUAGAAUGCCAUUCUUGAAUUCUGUGAAUUCAGGAAAACAUGGGUGACCUGAGCCACGUGUCCAUUCUGAGAAAAGAGGCUGACAGCUUCUCCUGAUCUCUAAGCAGCAGAAAUUCCAGAGGGCAACAGCUGCUAGGGCCCUGACCCUGAACUUGUCAACUUCUUCCCUACCCUCCCACCUCCUUCCUCCUUGCAUACCAGCCAAAGGUAGCUUUCUGCUUCAGUUUUUUUUGGUAAAGAGCCUCAGAGAGGAGCAUUUGAGCACCUACUCCGGCCAGAAAGACCACUGACAUCUGGGCACCGAGGGCCUUGGAAAUGAGACCGUCAUCUAGACUUAUCCAGAGAGGUUGCUACCCUUCCCAUUCUCCCUAAAAAGAUCUGCGGUCUUUCUUAGAGGCUAACACCCUCUGCUGGUCCAGAUGAUUCGUACUCACUCAGAUGCUGAAGCAAAUGAUCUUUGUCGCCAGGGAUAUCUGAAAGGCGUAAUAUUGUACACUCUGGGGGCCAACUUCCCCCCGAAUGAUUAUAUUUCAUUUUCUCCCUGCCACCGAACACAUCUUCCUAAGGACCAGGUUAGUAAGUGGCUCUCCCAGGGACAGCUCUGCAUAAGUGGGAUGGUGUUUACGACGAUGAUGAUCGUCACUCCAGCCCCUAGGACGUUUGAGAAACAAAAAUAAGCUUUGCAAGUUGCCUAUAGCUUCUGCGGACUCAGCAGGCCCCUGCUGGGACCAAUCAAGAGCUGCCUUUGGAAGAGAUCCGGCCUCAUUCUUUCCAAAGUACCGAUUGGCUUUGAGGAAUGGGCGGGGCUGCUGCCUCCUGUCCGGCUUCCCAUAGGUGAAGGAAAGUUAAGGUGGGCCCCCAGCGAGAUUUUUGUCCCGGGACGACGAGGACAGUCCUGGGGAUUUUUUUUUCCCCCUGCUUUGGAGGCCCUGGGCUCAAGGCAAAUUAUAAGUGGGAAACCAAUUGGAAGGAAAGAAAUUUGAACCGAGUUAAGGUGCCAGAAAGAGAAGCAGCCCUAUCUGAAGUCUGCAUCUGCCGCUGACAAACUUGGGGGGGGGGGGGGGGGGGCUGUGUUAAGGGAAGGGGGUUCAGCAAGCACAGGUAGAGGAGAGGCCGGUACGGCCCCAACAGGCCAUCAGAGAGCGGCAAAAUGAUGGAGGGCCCUAGAAAGAAGUCACUCUAGAGGUAACCGCACGAAGGGGGACCCGCUAUGCCUCGGCUCACGAUCCUUUCCCGCUCCCUUUCUGCUGGGCGCAAAACCAUGCUCACCAAUCCCACCUAAACAAGGAGGCAAGGAGCCCAGCCUUUUGUGCAAACGGGAGCUGUAACUGCCCUCCUUUUCUGCCCCCAAGACAAGAGAGGACUCUUGGAAGCCGAGAAGGCUUUGAGAAGUCCUUUCCGGACUGAGCCGUCGCCGGAGGCCCCUGGCGGCCCGCCCGCGCACAGAGGUCCACGAUGGGCCUGCUGCAGGGCCUUCUCCGGGCGAGAAAGCUGCUGCUCGUUAUCUUCGUGCCGCUGCUGCUGCUGCCUCUGCCCAUGCUCCACCCCAGCAGCGUGAGUACCGCCUGUCCCCGCCUGUCCCCUCCGGUCCCUGCCGGGCCGGGCGUCGGGUGCCAGGGCGGGGACGGCGAGGGAUGGGGUGCGACGCGUCUCUCGACAGGGUUUUCUCCGGGGCUCAAGGCCUGCACGUGCCUUUCUGGGGUAGGCUCAAAUGCUUUCUUCCCCCAAACUGCCACUUCUGUCCCUCUACCCCGUUCCCAGGGCCCCAGCCGCGUGGCCCCCUGCCAGGGGGGGGGAGUCUGGAAGGGCGGCCGGACCGGCGGGUGGGUGCUACACCAUCCCUGGGGCGCCCGAACUGGCCACGGGACGCGCGCGGUGUCCAUACGGAGAAGGACACGCUGCUGGGCCAGCGUUUGUCCGGGGUCACAUGGGACCAUCUUCCUGUGAGGGAGCUGGAGAGAGGGAGACCUCCCAGGAAGGACCCUGAGGGGGUGGGGGGUGGGGGCAAUGGGCAGGCAGGGGACUGCCCUUCGGGACUGGGGUGUCUCUGUGGAGACCCUCUGCCCCACCCACCAUCUGUGGACGGGCCAUGCCAGCUUCUGAUAACCAUGCUUUGAAAUGCAAUCGCUCAAGUUCCCUCUGAACUUCACAUUCAAAGCAGAGCUUGGCAUAUUGCCCCAGUCCCCAGCGCAUGGCCCUUUGAUUAUUCGUAUCCGCUGUGUUUUCUCCGUGCCCUUGAAGGGGGGGCAUUCAAUGACGCCAUAAAAAAGAAAUAAGGAAGCCCCCAACUCUAGCCCAUGACCUGAUUUUUGACAGGGUCUGCACGAACAGAGAUACCGAAAGCUCAGGCUCUGCCUUUGGCUUGCUUUUCAGACCACUGUUGGCCUCCCUUUCCCUUUCUGUCUCCCUCCUCCUCCUCCCCCUCCUCUCGGGGUCUCUACCCCGCCUCCAGCUGCCACUACCCUUAAAACUUCAGGAAAAAUAAGCUAAGAGAGGUUAAUCAUGUUUGUGGGAGGGGGAGAGAUUUUCCAGGCAGCUCCCUGAGUAACUUGGUAACCGACAUUGAGUUAUAAAGUUAAAUAGAGGGGAUUAGAGUGGCUCGUCUUAAAAACAAACUGGCUUAAAUCUUUACUAGAAUAAAUACCCCAGAGUGCCAAGGAGACGCUGAUUAACAGCAGGCUGGGAUUAGCAGACAGUGAUUGCUGCUGACAGUUUUCCUGGGCUUACACCAGUCAAUUCUCUGAUCUGUCCAAAUGGGUUGGUUUUUCCUUCCUUCCUUCCUUCCUUCCUCCCUUCCUUCCUUCCUUCCUCCCUCCCUCCCUUCCUUCCUUUCCUUCCUUCCUUUCCUUUGUUUCUUUGUUUUUCUUCUUGGUUUGUUGUUGUUGUUGUUUUACUCAAUGUCAGAUUGCAUUUAAGGGAGUGUUAACCAAAGACAUGUCGCCCUCUUCUCCAUGGAAGUAUCAGGCACCUCUGUGGCCCCGAGUCAGCCCUGUGUUUGGAGACCACGAGUCUAGAGUGUGGUGUUGCCUCCAUUUCAUUCUGGGGCCCUGGCUUUGAGCUUCUGAGUCACCAAUGACAGUAAGAAGCAUCCACAAGAAGAAAAAAGUAACCCAUUAUUGAAGCAAGCAAAAUAAUCAAUAAAUUCGAAGGAAGACAGGUGUUAUCUUAAAGAGGAAAGAAAAGGAAGGGCAGCUGGGCCUCUGCUCUGUUUGGAUCUGUAAAGAUUCUUCGAAGAGAUUUUUAAAGCUGGACUUACUGAGACCAAGAGACGUUGCCCUUUCUUGACCUAGCCCCUUCUGUCACCUUAGAACAGGGUUUCUCGACAGCCACACUAGUGACAUUUGGGGGCCAGAUAAUUCUCUGUUGUGGGGAGGGCUGUCCUGUGACUGUAGGGAGUUCAGCAGCACCCCUGGUCUUUACCCAUUAGAGGCUAGCAGCACACACUGCCAACCCCAUGAUGGCCAAAAAUGCUUCCAGAUAUUACCAAUACCCCUGGGGCGGGGUACAGAAUCACCCCCUGCUGAGAACAAGUGCCUUUUAAGAAAGGUGACAUAACACUACCCCAGGCACCUGGGUUAGGGGAGGGUGGAUAGUUUGACUCCCUCCCUCGGGACAGCCAGAUGGAGCCUGGGGUGGUCCAUGCCUUUCAGGAGUAGCUUUCUUGCCAUCUACCCACUUUGCCCUGCAGAGACGAUUUCUCCGUGUGUCACAGUGUCAACAAGGGCUCUGCUCCUCUUCUACGAUGACAUAAAAGCACCUUGAGGUCACCGGAACAAGCCAACACAUAGAACGUCUCUGACCCAUUCUUACUCCUGUGCAUUAAACUUUUAGACUCUGAUAUUUAAUCCUCAGGAUUCCUAAAUGGACCUGUUUGCCCUGGGCGGGAGCUGAGAGGAGGGACCCGGCCAGGAGCUCCUGGCCUGCUGUUCUGAUGAUUCUUCAAAGUGCCAAGCCACAGCUACGUUUUAGGAAGGAUUAGAAGGACCUUCCCCUUUUUCCUGACCAGCUCUCUAAAACCAGGGGCCCAGACUCAGUUUACCAUGUUACAGAAGAGGAGGGGACAAGGCGGGGGUGGGGGUCGUCCAUAAAUUAGCCCCGCUUCAGUGUCCCUGGUGGGAUAAAAGUUACACCCAAGCCCCAGCUUAAUUGCAGAAAGGCGUCACAGCCAUCUAUGACAGCAAAGAAGACCUCAAGCCCCUUCCAGUCAAGUCUGAAUGGCACAUCACUGAGGUGACCGGGCAGCAUGGAAAAGGAACAGAUGCACACAUCAGGUGGUAGCAGAGUCAGGAAACUUCCAAUGUGGGUAAAGCCACUUUUGAGCUUUUGAGCUUCCUCCUUUAUUUAUAAAAGGCAGCAAAACAGAGCUGGCAACACUCUCCUUUAAAGGCACCGCCUGCAUACUCAUCCGCCCCUACAUACCUGCUGACUAGCGGCAGUGAUAAGGGACCUAGGGUUUCCAGAAUAUUCUCUCCGAUAGAUAAGAGAAACCUGAUAGCCAACAGAGGAACCCAGUUCAGUUCAACCAAUAUUAAUUGAGCCACCUGCCAGACCUUGGCCAGAUGCGGGGUCCCAGGAGUCCUAUAAUCAAACCUCACAAGAUUUGGGGGGUUAUCUAAAUAUAAGCUUACCCACUGAACUUUGAGAAGGUUCAGAAGGAGCAAAAGGAAGUUUAUGUAAAUUCCAUGGGUGAAGUGGGCAAGAAAUAUGGAAAGGCCAAUCGGAGGCCCUCUCUUGCCCAUUCUCCUGCUCUAAGGAAAGUUCAGGGAAAAAAGGAUGAUGGUAGGUUAUCCUGUUCUUUAUAAUGCUGGAUGAAGGGGCGCCUGGGUGGCUCAGUCGGUUAAGCAUCUGACUCUUGAUUUCAGCUCAGGUCUUGAUCUCAGGGUGGUGGGUUUGGGCUCUGUGCUGGGCGUGGAGCCUACUUAAAAAAAAAAUCCUGGAUGAAAGUGGUUUGCUGACUUCCUCCAAGCCAACCCAUCCUAAUUCCUAAAUUUACCUUGGCUUACCCAAAUCUUCCUAAUUCAAACUAAAAUGCUGCCUGGUAGAGUUUUUUCUCUAUCAUUCUUUCUCUUGGUCUGUCACCCCUUCCCACUGCAGCCCCUUCCCUCCCUAACUUAAUUUGUGGCUCUGUUAUGACAAGAAAAACCGAAAGUUCCCAGUGAGGGAGAGAUAUUCUGUCCCAUCGUUAGGGCCCCCUUUAUCUUCAGCUGAGUUACGGGAGACCUGCCAUUCUGUUUCUCAGAAAAGAGAUGGAAAUAAGUGGGCCCAAGUAAGGUAAAGGGCUUCUUUGGGUAGUUUUGUUUCUGCAACAAAGUUGGUAUUUCUCUAAAUUGCAUUAUUUUCCAAUGGCGCCUUCCCCCCACCCCCACCCCCCUUACUGGUUCUGUUGUCUUAUCAGUGACUUCCAAAAGUUUUAACUUCUCUCUGAUCUUUUGGCCCCAGAGGAAAUCUCAGUGGGAGCUACAGUCAACAAUUAUUGGGCCCAGUUCCCAUUUCUCAAACCCCAAGGCAGUAAUCCAUGCAUAUCAGGAGGGAACAAGGUCCCAUUCUUCCAAGCUGGGUUAAUCACUCCUGACGCCCCUCACUGAUCAUGGCGACCUUUUGUAACUUUUGUGCAAGAGUUUGAGGAGGCUUGUUCUGAACCCAAGGGAGAGAUAAACAGAACAAGAUUUGUCAGGUUUCUUGAUCACCAGCCAGCCUCAGGGUAGGUCAGACCUGAGCCCAGAUGGUUUAGAACUACGUAUAAAUUGAGGAACCCACAGCCAGCUUGCACCUUCUAUACAGUGGCCCUCCAAGUCUGUUGUUAGGGCCCUUGGAUAGUGACGUCUCCCAAGAGUAAGCCAGCGACCUUUCUCAGCACCAUUAAUCAGAAUCAUCCCGAGCAACUAGAAUUACUAAAGGCUGAGGUUAAGGAGGGCUGAUUGUUGAUAACAAUGUUGUGCCUUUUUAUUCCGUGCACACCAGUGUGGUAUAGCCAGCAAAGGAAGGAGGUUGGGGAAAACUCUCGUAAAUUUCCAGCCGUUCCCUUCCAGGUAGACAGCACUUUUUAUCCCCUAUGUCCCAUGGAUGUCUCCCUGGGCAUCAGGCAGGUGGAAUGAAGUCCCAGGGCAAUGAGAACCAGAUAAUGGUAAGGGCGAUGGUUCUCACCCCGGGACAAAUUUCCCCACUCCCACCCGGAGGGAUAUUUAGUAAUGUCUAAAGACAUUGGUUGUCACGAUGGGGAGGUGCUACUGACAUCUAGUGGGUAUAGGCCAGGGAUGCUAAACAUCUUAAUGCACAGGACAGCCCCCCACAGCAAGGAAUUAUCCAGCCCCAAAGAGGGCCAGUCUCAGAGCUCACAUCUGAAUUGGUUACACAAAUUGAUCCCUACUUUCAACUAUCCCGAGAACAUCUGCGCCCCGUCAACUCGACACCAAAAUAUCACGCUCCGUGUUAAAGCUAUGAACUCCAACUUGAGAGCGGAUGAUCUCGGGUCUGAGCACCGCAGUUAAUUGGGGUCCCCACCCUGCACAGUUUCAAGAACGAGCAGAGCUGGGACAUGGUCAGUCUGGUGGCCAUCCUGCUGCAAACCACGUGCCAGGCACCGGUCCCCCCCCAAGGAGCAGCCAUUAUUUCACAUGCCAAAGCGUGGGCCCCGCCGCGUGUCCACCAGAGGCCAGCUUUGCACACACACACACCCCCACCCAGGGCUGUGUCCUCGUGCCCAUCUUUGACUCUGGGUACCAGCUGCCUCUGCCCCCGGGUCUCGUUUGGAUUCUCAGGGGCCAUGGCUGUCCCUGUGGCUAACCGCCCACUCCCCUUCCCUUCCAGGAGGCCGCGUGUGCUUAUGUGUUGAUCGUGACUGCUGUGUACUGGGUGUCUGAGGCGGUGCCCCUCGGAGCUGCAGCCCUGGUGCCUGCCUUCCUUUACCCGUUCUUCGGAGUCCUCCGAUCCAGUGAGGUGAGACCGCUUGUGGCCCAGCCCCCUGCUCGGGUCCCCGCCGGGCCAGUGAAAGUGGGCUCAGGGUGAAAGGAGAGCCACAAAGGACUUGAGGAGGGGGCUUUUUUUCACCCUCUGGCACACUCUCUUAGCACUAAGCCUUUGCACCUGCUACUCCAGGUUCCUCGCCCAUGACCUUCGUCUCCUUCAAACUGUCUCUUUCAGGAAGCCUUACUUGAUCAGUCACAUCCAAUUGCUCCUACAGUCUGAAACCCUCUAGGAACUGUGGGAUUGGUACAUGCAAGUAACCUGGGGUUGACCUUUGUCAGUCUUUGGUAUGCCCACUUAAAGCAUAAGCACUCAAAGGCAGGAAUCAGUGUCCCAGGUCUUUGGAACCUUAUUAUAAACCUGAGCCCAUAUACAGUAGGUGCUCAAUAAAUGUUUGUUGACAGAGAAACUUACCAUGUUUUCCUGAGUCCUGACAAUGUUUUCAUCUACUUCCCUUCAAAAGAAAGAAAGAAAGAAAGAAAGAAAGAAAGAAAGAAAGAAAGAAAAUUCAAUUCCUUCUUCCCCAACUCAAGAUUACUGCGUAUUCUUUCCUUGACUGCUGUCUACCCAGAACCUGCCUUCUCUGUCCACUCUCUCUCUCUAUGGCCUUCUUAAAAGCUCAAACAGAAAUUGUCAAUAUCAAGCCCCGGUUGUGGUCAGCUUUCAGGGCAAACACUCACACCUACCACAAGUGGGAAAGAAGAAACACACAACCAGAAGCCAGAAGCAACAGGAAAGAUGGUCUUCAUUCAGUAACACCUGGUCUAUCUAGACUCUUGUCAUAGCACCUGGUCUCUGAUUCGAGUUCCCAGUAAAGAUUGAAAGGCAGAGACUAAGGACAGAGGCACAGAAGAAAGAUCAAAAGGAAUUCAUGUCUGCUGGUCUACUAGGAGCCAGGAACUAUACUGGAAGGAAUAUAUCGGUUAUGCAGUACCCCUGAGAUCUCUCUACAAGUGGGUGUUAAUAUUCCCACUCUACAGAUGAGGAAAGAGGCUCGGUGAGUUAAGACACUCACUCAAGAUCACAAAGUAGGAAGUAGCAGAACUGGAUUUAAACUCUUAUUAGGUUAAAAGUCUAUAUUCUUGCUUGCUAUGCCAGAAGGAAGACGUUCCAUAAAGUAGCUUCGUGGUGAGUUAUUACUAAGAACUCUGCAUCUCCUUUCCUGUGUGAUGUGAGGAAGAAAUAAUGAAGCUGGGCCUAUGGGAUGCCUUAACCAUGAAAAACAGAACUUUUUUGAAAGUCCAAGGCUAGAAUUAGGUGACCCUCUAACUGUGGUACUUGACUUCAUCUGAAUAGGUUGUCUUUCUACCAGAUGGACUCAACUGGCCAGUUGUUUGUUUGUUUGUUUGUUUGUUUGUGUUUGGGGUGUUUUGGGUUUUGGUUUUGGUUGUUUCUUUGUUUUAUUCUGUAUCGUUUCAGUUUUGAGGUGAGAGGGUUAGUGGCAAUGAGUAGCCGUAGUAGCUUUACGUGUUCCAAAGAGGAUAGGAUCCCCUAACCAUCAGCAGUGCUUUUAUUCCUGGAGAUGGGUAGAACAGCAACAUCCUGGGACCCAUAUAAAAGCUAGCCUGUGACCCGAAUCAUCAGGGGGUUGCUCCAAUGUGUCCCCUUCCUUUGUGGAAAAGAGAAUAGGUAGUUUGGUCUGUGUGCACGCCUAAAAGAACAACCAACCUUAAUGUUUAUGUAUUUUUGAGAGAGAGACACAGUGUGAGCAGGGGAGGGGCAGAGACACACACACACACACACACACACACACACACACACACACACACAGAUUCUGAAUCAGGCUCCAGGUUCCGAGCUGUCAGCACAGGGCCCAACCCGGGGCUCGAACUCACAAACUGCAAGAUGGUGACCUGAGCUAAAGUCGGACGCUCAACCGACUGAGCCACCCGGGUUCCCCAAGAACAACCAACCUUAAAUACGACUUUUCUGAAGAAAAGUGCCUAAGCUUAUUCUGCACGUUUCUCUUUAAAAGGGAGAAGCCAAAAGCCAAUGAGUCAGGGAAUGAAAACAGAAGGCAGAGAAAAGAGUGACGUUGUAGAAAAAAUUGAACUUUAACAUUCAGAGUGAGCUAACUAUUAAUUAAAAGAUUUCUAUCUUUGUAUUUCAGGGCGAGCAGCCUCAAAGCCAACAGCUUGCUUUAGCCUUGAAGUAGAUGGUGUCCCUAUUUCUCCAAGGGCUGCCCGAAGCAGGAAGCCUCAAAGAUGUUGCUAGGCAACCGGUCAUCCAAGGGCCCGCCCCUUGGCACAGCCAGGCAGGCCAGACCUAUGAGGCUGUUGAGUCAGUGGUUUGAAGGAUAACUCGACUUUGUGAGGAGAAAAGCAAGACUGUCUGGUGAAGGAUUAGGCAUUGUCAUUGCUGGGGCUGGAGAUGGAAAACCCUGGGAGAGCCACAGGGCAAGUCUUAGCAUUUGAGGUGAAAGAUCCUACCCCAUCUGUCUGAUAAAGUGGCAAUGGCUGGCGAUGAUAUUUAACAGUUGGGUUACAGGAAGCGGCUUAAGCCAGACAGAGUCUGUUGGGCUGGCUUUUUCAACUCAGAUCAGAGGAAAAUGCCGCUAAGCGGGGGACAUGGCUUAUGACCCUUUGUGAGUCACCUAACUUUGCAGAUAGAGACCUAUUCCAAACACCUAAUCCACAACCAGCAGCCACACCCCUCCGCCAGCAUGCGCCCUGGCUCCCUGGGAAGAGGCAGGCUGGGGAUCUUCAGGAGUUCCCUCUGCAGACAGAUCACCUACUUGUCCCUCCCCAAGCCCACUUGCACUUGCCUAGCCCCUUGCCUUGACUCAGUCCUCUCCAAUUCCCUCCACCUUUAAAAUCCUGCCCAAUCACCCUCUACAGUGAAGCCUUUCCAAAGACCUCAGCUGCAAGUGUUGCUUUUUUCCCUUGGAGCCUGUGUGAUGUCUUUAUCCUUUAAAUGGUACAUCAGAUACACCUGAUACGAACUUACCAUAGACAUGUCCUCUCUCCACGAAGAUUCGCAGCCCCUAGGAUUGGUGGUGUCUGUGGCCUGGAUGCAGUGUGGUCUAUACUUGCUCUGACCCUCAGUUAAUGGUUCUUAGUUGCAAGGUCUCUUGCUGGUGUGGCAACAGUGUCCCCUUCACCUGAAGGAAGGCAUGAGGAUAGGAUCAGUAUGACUCUGGGACCAUGGCUUUUGUCCCUCAUGUCAUUCACUCAACAUUCAGAAAAAUAAUUUCUGAGUUCUCAGUCUACCAUGUGCGACGUGGGAUGUUACGGGUACCCUGAAGGUGACAAAAAUGAAACACAUGAUUUCUGCCCUCUUGAAUGUCGCGCCUGAUGCUUCUGAGUUUCCUACUGUCCUCUUGGAUGUAGGCAUACAAAUGGUUAAUUUGCAUGAUGAUGAUUUAUUGGUCAGCAGGUGUUAAGAGUUUGUGGGGUGCAAAACUCAGACUUCCGUCUCUCAGUCUUGCUGAAAAGAGAUGGAAAAUGAUAGAAAUGGCUCCUGACCUUGAGAAGUUUCUAUUCGAACAGAGAGAAGGCACAAACCAAAUUGGAAAACACUGAAGACCCGUGCGAUAAUGCCUCGUUUGCUGGCCUUGCAGAGGCUUCACACAAUCCCCCGAGAGGGAAUGUUCUAGAUAAAUGAAAUUUACUCCACCAAGUGCCCAGCCUUCUACUGACCACUUUUUGACUGAGGCCUUUUCUAGAAGGCUUUAUCAUUUCUGUAGCCUUUUAAACAGAAGCUGUUGAAUACAAAUUAACUUUUUCUUUGGAACCUUCAAAUUUUCCAGGGGAAAAAAAAAUUUCUCAAUCAAAGGAGCCAGUGUGGGCUGGAUGAUAACAUAGUUGGGUAACUUGAGUGCUGGCUGAACAGCUGAACCUAAAGAAUCUUGAGUAACAUAAUGGCAGCGGACCGGAGAGAGAGCUCAAAUGGAAAUAUAAAAGGCACGUUAUCAGAUCUGCCAAUGACUCCAAGCUGCAUGGGCCAACUCAUGUACGAUGACAAAAUCAAUGUCGACAGGAUGAGACAAUGGCCUGGAACUGACAGAAUGAAGUUUAAUAGGGAUAAACGUUAACAGUUUGUGUGAAAAGGACCCUUGGCUUUUAGUUGAGUACAGAUUCAGUACGAAUCAUCUGUCCACUGGGGUUGCCAAAAUUUUGAGCAUUUACCAUAUGCUGGGCGCUAUGGGAGGUCCUCUACAUGCACUGCAUCACUUAAUCCUCUGUAAAGUGGCUAUUAUUUUUAUCUUCACAGAGGAGUUCAGAAAUUGAAGUUCAGAGAGGUUGAGUAACUUGCUAAGGAGCAGAGCCAGGACUCGAACCCAGGAGUGUUUAUGAUCCCAGAACUUGCUCUCUUAACCACUGGCCAACACAUACUGAAACCUGCUGAAUGAAUACACAUAUGGGUCCAGAGCAUCAGAUUCUAGAUAAGGAGCUCAUGCGGUGGUGGGUAGCCCAGAUGUCAAAAAUCUAGAAUGUGAGUCACAUGAGGAAAGAAAAGUCUCCAGAGAGAUGUGAUUUCUGGCUUCUGCAGCUCAACGCACUAGGCUCAAAGGGUCAAACCAGUCCAAAGAGUCCAAGCACCGUAAGAAAGACCCACCCUGUCUGAGGGAAGGUGCUGAAAUGGGCUGCCACGUGGUAUCUGGGCGUUCCCGUCCCUGGGAAUGCAAGCCAGGUGACCACGUCGGCGACAUUAGAGGUAGAUUGGGAGAGGGGUUGGGCUCACAGCGCCCUUUGACUCUGAGACUCUAUGAUCUUCUUGUUAGCAUCCUGCCACUACUUUAGAGCUCAGUCCUGGAUUUGAGGUUUGUUCUUUAUUUUACCUCCAUCGUGACUCUCACUUCUAUCAUUAUAUCUGCCAUGGAAAUCCUCUAAGCCCUUCUAAUGUGUUGCCACAGCCCAGGAAAGUACCGGGGUCGAUCAACCUAGCUAGGAUUUACUGUUUCUAGGAGGAUGGGAGCGAGAGGGCCCUCUGGGGCACAAAAAGGCAGGGUUUGAAUGAUCAGGCUUGGUACAGCCUCCGGAGAGCCCAGGGCCAGAAACUACUUCCAGUAGAGAUGACACCUGCUUUCUAUCUCUCCCCUUCCCAACACACACACUCACAGUCACCCUCUGCUGUCUCCAUGGCCCUGCACCGCAGGGCCACAUUUCACAUUCUGGCUCCUGCCAGGGCGGGAGAGACAGCAAGGCAGCUCCAGCUGGGAAAACAAAAGGGCCUCUGCAGCCACCUGACACUUGAGUUCAAUGUCAUGAAUCUGCUUCCCUGUUUGUUCCUGAUCUUUCUGACCUGCCAGAUUCCUGACCGUCACCUAGACCCUGGCUCUCUUUGUUUGUUUAAACCGGGGGUGGGGGUGCAUUUCAUAUACCAUUCUCCUCUCUGCCUUUCUGGCCUCUGCUUGCGAGGGAAGCUGACCCCGCCUCCACGCAGGCCUGCGGGGAUGUAAGCUGAGCAUCGGGGCCCGGCCACCUGCCUGAACCCAAGCUACCCAUCACCCACAGCCAUCCAGACACAGGCCAGUGCUGAGUACACCCACACCUUAGGUGGAGCCUGGAACCACGAACCUACAGAUGCUGCAGCCUUUCGAGGCCAAGUUAAUGUUUCUGUGGGAAGAGCUACUCCCUACAUGUGAGCCAGCCCCUUUGCCUCUGGAGUCAGAGCCCAGUCCCCUGCCUUGGUUUCCUCCACUGGGGGCAGUUCAGAAGGUCCCAGAGAAGAAACUGGGGGUGCUUUAUGAGUCGGCAUCGCCAGGAGCUAAGCCAACCUCUGGGCCAGGUCAACACUCCUCGGAAUCUGUCCGCUUUAGACUUCUCUAGGGUAGGGUUUGCAAAGAAUGUUUUUCUAGCAACAAGACCUUUUCUUUAAACCACAUCUUAGGAGACUCAGUACAUAAAACAGAUGGAAGAGGAAAUCCUACUCAAAUUGGGCACGGAGGCCCAGAGCCCUGGUUGCUUGGGUCCUUCUUCCCACAAGCCUCCUGAAAUUUCAGAGGCAGUGAGCGUGGUUUGAAAACCUCCGUCCUUGGGGAGUGCAAUUAGGUGAUUAGGAGGGUGUUGGAGCCCACACAGACUUACCCAGCAGAAACAGCAUUCCUUUCCCCAGGGAAAGGCCGGGAGUCGGCCACGCUGGAUUUGGCUGCAUCGCUGGGGCAGUGGCUGGAAUAAAGAAGCGAGCGAGGGCUCCGGCUCUGGCUGGGGGCUCAGCUCAGUGCGGAGGGGGCGCAGACCCAGGCGUGCCCUCCGGGGAGUCUAAAAGAUUUCACUGCAAAAUCGUUCAGAUGUCCAAAAGAGCCUCAAAAGAAGUCCAUUGCCAGAGAGGCCACCACUAGUCUCCCGAAGGGUGGCCACCUUCCUGGACCACUUGUAGAGCUACCCCCAGCUGACCCCCAGAGAGCUGAUUGUCCGCAUUUCUGGGGCACCCUGCCUGUGCCACCGGCGGGGGGGGGGGGGGGGCCUCAUCAGACGCAGUCACACCCACCACACCUCCUGCCGUCUCUGCUGCCGCCGUGAGCAAGGAGAGGAAAGGGUCAGGAUCCAAGCUGGGAGUAGAGGAGAACGGAGUUUAUGAAUCCAGUUUUGUCACUAACCAGUCUCGAGCAACUCUCCUUACCUCCGCAAACUGCCAUUUGUUCAUCUGAAAACGAGGGGAAUAGAAAUAGCGACCUCACAGGGAGCUCUGAGGAUUUUCGACGCUCUCGGGCGGGGAAGUGCCCCCACAGCGCCCCCCGGCGGGAAGGCAGGAAGGAUGGGCCGCUCUGGGGCCUCCCCUCCAGGGGAUGGCCCCAGGGAGGCAGGCUCACCUUCCUCGGGAGAAGGGCACCCAGCUGAGGCUGCUGAACCGAGUUCCCUCCUCCAAAGUCUAGGAAUAGAGCCACGCACACCCUUCCCCUUUAUAAAAACUGUUUGAAACAUUUUUUAAAGCUUAUUUAUUUAUUUUGGGAAAGAGAGAGAGAGAGAGAGAGAGAGAGAGAGAGAGCACAUGAGUGGGGGGAGGGGCAGAGAGCGAGGAUCCCCAAGCACACACUCAGCGUGGAGCCCACAGCAGGGCUCGAUCUCGGGAACCGUGAGGUCAUGACCUGAGCCGAAAUCCAGAGCCGGACGCUUAACCGACUGAGCCACCCAGGCGCCCCUACGGAAACUAUUUCAAACAUUUAAAACCUAACAUAUCUAGAGAUCAGUAAAGAAUUCCGUGCUCCAAGAAAGCGAUAUUUCAAGAGCUCAUCCCUAAGGGAUCUCACCUGCAACUCACUAGCAAUUAACUAGUUAGUUAAAGACCAACACCCGGCAGAUCCCCGAGCCUCUCCAUCCAGCCCGGGUCAGGACACUCUUUCCAUGUGCUUCCACUUCACUUAGAAAAUUUGGAGGAACCUUUGGUUUCAUAUUCAGGCACACCCUUGCUCCUUAUUUCAUUUCUUUCUCUUAUUCCCUCAUUUGGACGUGCUGAUACAUCUGGCAUAACCCUCAAUCUUAUUUGAAGCUUUUUAUCUUUGUUUUACCUCUUUAAUAAUAAUAAUAAUAAUAAUAAUAAUAAUGGACAUUUAUUGAGCACUUCCUAUAUGCCAGGCACCCAGGCACUGUUCUAAGACCCCACCUGCAUGAGCUUCCUUAAGGCCACGUCAUGACGGCUUCAGUGACCUGGGUGUCAUUACUGUCGCCACUGAAAAUGCUGGGGCGCCAGGGUCACAGGGGUUCAGUAGCUUGCCCAGGAGUCUACAGCUCAUCUGCAGGGAAAGCAACCAUUUAAACCCACCUAGUCUGAUCUCCGUUUCCAAGCAGCCUCCUUGAGCUCCCCUCUUCUAAAACACAGACCAGGAGCACCUCUGCUCUCUGAGCUCAGGGAUCCGGUUGCGGAAAAACCGCAAGAGCAGAAAAGGCAAUAAAACCCCCACCGCAAACAUCGCAGAAAGCGAGCACUCGACCCAGGGGAGCCGUGCUCGGUUUAGGAUCCUGUUUCUCUUUGCAAAUAAUCCCGACAAGCUUCACAAGCUUCGUUAUCUAGUUUCCCAACUCGGAGAAUAUUAGUCCCAGAGAUUAGGUGGUGGGGAGAGGAAUGCCCACAGCAAGCAUAAGUAAGCAACGCAGCAGCUUAGCAAACAAUGAAAAUAACCCUCAGGAAUCUUGGAACCCUGGUGUUCCUUGAGGGUUCUGAAUAGCUAAGAUUUUAUUAUUGAAAAAAAAAAAAAAUCUGUGGGCUAGACAGCUAACAAACACCGCCAUCGGAUGGAAUUUUAAUUUGUAAAAGUGGGAAGGCAGCCUUGUGCCUGGGCCCGUUCCUGUGCUCAUGGCCUCAGAGCAGGUCAGUCUUUGUGUGGAUUACUUAGUGACAGGAAGAGCUGCUAAAAAUCCUGGUUGUCAAUGUGGGGGGCCCUCCUGGCUGAUUUGCAUCUGUCAUUUACUCUACAACAGCUUUACAAAAGCUAGGGAAUCCCGUAAUCUUUUUGUUUGGUUUUGGGUUUUUUUAGAUGAGUAAAUGAAGCCCAGAGAGGUUGAAUAACUUGCCUGGGGUCACACAGCUGAGUCCUGGCUGACCCUGGAGCCCUCAGAUCCCGCUAACGCUGGGCCCGGGGCUUACAUUGGCCCAGGCCCGGCUAUUCGGGGCCAGCGUCAGGACCGUGACUAUGAAUGGAGACGGAAACGUGUGCCUGCCCAUGCCAUCAGGGAGACCAAGAAAACUCCCCUAGAGUUGAAUUAGAUGCCCGGUGUCCAACGGGCCCACCCCGAGUGUAGUAGCUUUGGAUUCAGACGGAUAUAGACUGAUAUCCAGACACUGCCCCUCAUGCUGUGACCUUGGAAGACUUCCCGAACCUCUCUGCGUCCGCCUCCUCACCUGCAAAGGGAGGUAGGAAGGGUACCUGCCUACUAGGACCCCUGUAGAGCUAACACGGGAAAGUGAGUGCAAAGUGCCAAACUCCCUGCUUGUAGAGGGCACUCUGUGUGUUGGUUCCUUUCGUCUUCCCUUCGAGAGGAACCCAGAGAAAGGGGCCCCGCCUGUCCUGUAGGCUCUGCGCUCCUAAAAGGCCAUCGCACACUGAGAUGCUAUUAUGACGCGUGGCAAGAGGCAGAAAAUGAAAAUGUUGCCAGCCAGUCCCCUGCGAGAGUAAACCUGGUGGCCCUGACUUUGUAUUUAUUUUUUAGUGUUUAUUUAUUUACUUUGAGUGAGAGUGCGAGUAGGGGAGGGGCAGAGAGAGAAUCCCAAGCAGGCUUCGUACUGUCUGCACAGAACCCAACUCAGGGCUUGAUCUCAGGAACCAUGAGAUCAUGACCUGGGCCGAAACCCAGGGUACGACACUUAACUGACACAGCCACCCAGGCGCCCCAGCGCUGAAUUUUUAAAGGCUUUGCAGGGGGGCCUCGAGUGAGGGGACCAUGGAGGGGGCCAGUGGAGGGACCGUGACCCAGGACUACUAUGUCUCCUAUCUUCUGUGGGUUUCCCUCCUUGGCAGACAGAGUUCAAGAAAAGACGGGUUCUGCCCCAGAACUGCCUCCUAGACUCCUGGGAAGGUCAGGGUGCCAUGAGAAAGGUCCUAGGUAACAUCCCCCCCCCAACUCGCCCCCACUUCCAGCCAUGCCUUCAGGCAUCCUCGCAGUUCCUCCACCUCCCGCUAGGGGGCAGCAUCUUCGACUAUGCUCACACAGCCCAGAGGCCGACCUGCCAGUCCCAGAGGGGACUGUGCCCUAGAGUCACCAGCCAAGCAGAGCAGGGAGCCUUCUCUGCCCUCAGGAAGCUUUAGUAACAGUGCCAGUUGAGGAUUGGGUUUGGGAACAAGAACCAGAUUAAGCAGGGGCGCCUGGGUGGCUCAGUCGGUUAAGCAUCCAACUUCGGCUCAGGCCAUGAUCUCACGGUUUGUGGGUUCGAGACCCACAUCGGGGUCUGUGCUGACAGCUCAGAGCCUGGAGCCUGCCUCAGACUGUGUCUCCCUCUCUCUCUGCUCCUCCCCCAUUCACGCUCUGCCUCUCUCUCAAAAAUAAAUAAAAAUUAAAAAAAAAAAAGAACUAGAUUAAGCAGAAGUGGAGGGCUCCUCCAGGAAACGGUCACGUAGAGGGCCAAUGACCCUUCUCCUCCCACACAAACCUCAUCAGUGACACACAGGGACAUCUCCGUGGGGGAAAAGGUGGGGGGUGGGGAGAGAAAUACUGCUUUAUUUUGGCUUUUAUGUUGUCAAAGUGUUAACAGAGUUUAAAAUCAAAUAAUAAUGGGGUGCCUGGGUGGCUAAGUCAGUUGAGCAUGGGACUUUGGCUCAGGUCACGAUCUCCCGGUUUGUGAGUUCGAGCCCUGCCUCUGUGCCGACAGCUCAGAGCCUGGAGACUGCUUUGGAUUCUGUGUCUCCCUCUCUCUCUGCCACUCCCCCACAUACACUCUGUCUCUCUCUCUCUCAAAAUUAAAUAAAUGUUAAAAAAGAAAAGAAAAAGAAAAAUCAAAUAAUACUGAAAAACUCAUCAUGCAAAACCAGCAGCUGUCUUCCCCACCCCUCCCUUACUAUACCCUCCCCCCCAAGUCCCACCUCCCCCUCAUCCAGGGUUUCAUCUUUGAUAACUGCUUCUUCUGGGGCACUGUAUUCUUUUUUUUUUUUUUUUGUAAUGUUUAUUUAUUUUUGAGACAGAGAGCAUGAGCAGGGGAGGGGCAGAGAGAGAGGGAGACACAGAACCUGAAGCAGGCUCCAGGCUCUGAGCUGUCAGAGCCCAACGCGGGGCUCGAACUUGUCAACCGCGAGAUCAUGACCUGAGCCGAAGUCGGACGAUCAACCGACUGCACCACCCAGACACCCCGAACUGAAUACUAUUCUUACUCGAUAAUCUUAUAUUAACUCUUGAGUUAUCGCUUGUAGACGUUAUUAGAUGCCUUCUGAUUACAGCAGAUGAGGAUUGUGUCCUCUUACAACCCCCCUUCUCCUCCCUCCAGCCUCCCAGUAUAAAUACAUCACGGGUUUUGUUAACUCAAUAAGCAAAGUUUAACCAUAUGAUUAUGUAAAUAUUCCUUAUUUCCAACACCACGUAUUUUAACUAUAUUUGCGUUUCCUGCAGUCUUUAUUUUUCCUGCAAUUAGAAAUGUUCUCGUUUUCCCGCUUUAAAGAGGGUUCCUAAAUUAGAAGUUAAACUUUUCUGUAUGUUUUCCUCUGUUUCUGCCAUGGCUCCCUGUUGGGAACGAUUCUCCUGCACGUGAUAAAUAUUUCCCGAGCAUUUGCUUUUCUACUUUGGUCUGCUAGGUGUUAAGAGAUACGGAAAGAAACAUGGUCCUUGACCAUUCUGCAGCCCAAAAUUUAGUUGAGAGACAAGAGAGGUACACAGGGAAAAAAAAAAACAAAACAGUGCAAGCAUGUUGCCCUGCAUGCUGUGUGGUGGGUGAAAUUAACGGUCCCCGCAGGGAAUGUUCUGGAGUCCGUGGCUAGAGUCCCAAGGAAAGUUUUCUUUCACAAGGAAGGCCCGAACCGGGCUUUGAAGUCAGGUUGUAAAGCAGAGUCGAGAAGUACCAAGUAAGGAAAUCCAUGAAGGGUUGGUCUGUGGACCCUAAACACAGGAAGCAUCUUAACAGGGCCGAGUCUCCACUUCCUCAUCACGAAGGGGCAGGAAGAAGUUCAUUACUGGUACUCGGCUGUGGAAGAGAAAAUCCCUAUUCUUAGGAAAUAUACGCUGAGGUAUUUAGGGGAAAAGGCUAAAAUAUAUGCAACUUGCCCUCAAAUGGUUCAGGAAGAAAAAAACACGUAGACGGUGUGUUGGUAUUCCUUAUGUUUUUGGGUUUUUUUUUCCUGUUUAUUUAUUUUUGAGAAAGAGAGACAGAGUGCGAGCAGGGGAAGGGCAGAGAGAGAGGGAGACACAGAAUCUGAAGCAGGCUCCAGGCUCUGAGCCCAUCAUGGGACUCAAACUCACGAACUAUGAGACCAUGACCUGAGCCGAAGUCGGACGCUUAACCCACUGAGCCACACGGGUGCCCCAGGUAUUCCUUGUACCGUUUCAUUUCGGAGCUUUGCAACUUUGGAAUUAUUUAGAGUUAUUUAAAGUUUUAAAAAUUUUUAAAAAUUUUUUAAAGAUUUAAGGCAAGCUAUAAAGAUACCCUCAAGAACUCUAACCUAAGGAAAUUAUCAUAUUUAUGUAAGGUUAAUGAUGUAAGCAGAAAAUUUUUCUUUGCUCCAUUUGUACUUGAAAGAAAAGGAAUUAACUGAAAUAUUUAAUAAAGGGAAAUUGGCCAAAUUGUGUGAUGCAUUAUGCUUCUAUUAAGAUUAAUUUUUCCAACAAAUUGAGGUUAAAUAAGAUAAUGAUCCGGGUAUGAUGUAAAUGGGGAGAAAAGCAGAAUAUAAAGCUAUACAUACUGUGUAAAUCCAAUUAUGUAUCUUUAUAGACCCAAAUUGAGGGAAAUAUACCAAAGUAAUAACAGUAGUAGGAUCAAGGGUGAUUUCACCUUUAAAUUUCUCUAUAUUUUGAAGUUUUCCAGAAUGAGCAUGUAUUAAUUUUCUAAUUAAAACAAAUGAACAUAGGGGGGCCUGGGUGGCUCAGCUGGUUAAGCGUCGGACUCUUGAUUUUGACUCGGGUCAUGAUCUCACAGGUGAGGCUGAGCCCCACGUGGGAGCCUGCUUGGGCUUCUCUGUCUCCUCUCUCUCUACCCCUCCUCCGCUGGCAUGCAUGUGCUCUCUCUCUCUCUCUAAAUGAAUAAAUGAACUUUUAAAAAAAGAAAAAUGAACACAAUUUUCUAAAAAGCUACAGAAAAAAAAAGAGAUCGGGGACAAGCCCAGAGUUAUUUUAACAAUUUUUUAAGGCUUAAGAUAAAAUUAUACGUGUGUGUUUAUUCUUUGAAAUGAUAUCAUAAUUAAAGACAGAGUGUUUUAAUAUUUUUUAAGCAUGCAGAAGAAUAUCUACCUUAUUGGGUGACUGGCCAGAUUAACUGAAACAAUCUUUGUAAACUACUCAGAACAGUGCCUGCCCGAGGUAGUAUGUUAUGCAUGUAUAUAGAAUAUAUGUAUGUGGGUAUAUAUGAGAUAUAUAUGUAUCUAUUUUUUAUAUAUAUAGUCUCAAACAGUCAGCUAUUUUAACAAUCGUCACCUCCCUCCUUGCGUGCCAGCCUCUGGUUGAGAAUGGGUUGCGAUGGGUACGGCCCUGUCCUCUGGGCCCUGGUGGGGGAGGGGCUGACCUGUGCCACCUUCCCGCAGGUGGCCGCCGAAUACUUCAAGAACACCACGCUGCUGCUGGUGGGUGUCAUCUGCGUGGCAGCUGCCGUGGAGAAGUGGAACCUGCACAAACGCAUUGCUCUGCGCAUGGU
rnacentral:lncRNA from 1 species